AGCCGCGGUAAGACGUAGGAUGCAAGCGUUGUCCGGAUUUAUUGGGCGUAAAGCGCACGUAGGCGGCUCGGUAAGUCUCACUGUGAAAGCCCGGGGCUCAACCCCGGGAGGCCAGGGGAUACUGUCGAGCUGGAGACAAGCAGAGGCGAGUAGAAUUCCGGGUGUAGCGGUGGAAUGCGUAGAGAUCCGGAGGAAUACCAGAGGCGAAGGCGGCUCGCUGGGCUUGGUCUGACGCUGAGGUGCGAAAGCGUGGGGAGCGAAC
rnacentral:rRNA from 1 species